GGGAACUUCCUAACGCUAAUGUUGCCGCGACAGAGGAUGUCUAGCGACUGGGCAGCGCUAAACCAUGGAACAUUUCAAUUUCCAACGAGACACCAGCUCACGUGGUACAUGCAAGUUAGGAGACUACGCCUCCAGUACAGCCAUCAGCGAAGCUGCACGAGAUGUAAAGCCUCUGCGGCUGCAGUGCGUUGGAGACUAUGCUUGGGGAAGAAGUGCGACAGUUCAACGUCAACGAGGAGUGAAUAAGAAUUGUAAAUCAGCUUGGUCAAUUUUGUGGUGAGAAGAAAUCGUUUCAAUAAUUUAAUAUUCUUCUAAUCGCGAGCGAGUGCAUGUGUAAAUUCACUGGCAAUCGAAUUACAUUAAAGGGAGAAGUUCAAGUAAUUUCCGAGGAUAUCCAUAAAACAAGAGUGAGUACGAUCAUUUGGCAAUGGAAGUCACACAACCAUGUACUAGAGUCAAGUUUGGAAGGGAAGUUAUCGAUUGACCCACAAAGGGAAUAGCAACCGUGCGAAAGAUCAAAUUGCAAGUAUAGAAGGUCAGCAUUUAGCAAGAGGGUGGCACGAAAAUCCAUUAAUCUUCAGGCGACGCUGUGUCUAGACUAUGUGGAAACCAGCUAUGUAGCAUACUAGAUAGAGUAAACUACUAGACUAUAUAGCAUAUAGCUCUAUUUAAAAGUGCUGAACGAAGAACUAGAUUAAACAAAAUCACUUGCAAAUGCUGCGAAGUAUGACGAGAAGUUUCAACAAUAUGUCUCUUGAGUUUUUCUUUAUUAAGCGUGCUAAUUUAUUACGAGCUUGGAAAAGUAAUUUGAAAAGAGUGGAAAUUGCAUAAUCGUCUGCUUAUUAGAUGAGAUUACUGUCCAUUAAACUAAAUUAAAAGAAGUGUCGCUCACGCGUUGCAAUAUUUCUGAAUGAAACGUUCUGAAUGAAAAAUAUGCGGAUUGCAUUUCACCUGUCUCGAUAAAACAUUCAACUCGUCUGCGAUUGAUCACCGAGUAAAUGAUACGUAAGAGAUUGUCAUCGCCGUGUUGUCGUUCAUACAGGUGAAAGGAAUCGAGCACACCCCCGCACGCGUAUCAGUGAACAAGUUUAAAAGGGAAUAUAUCGAUCGUGACGUGUAAGGGAUAAUACGGUCACCAGGAGGCGGAUCAAUUUCUAGCAGACACUAAUAGUUCUUUCAAAGCCAUUGCUAUCAUAAUUCUAAUUACUCCAUUGUCAACCUUUGAUGUUUCGUAAUUUAUUUUAGGCCGAAAUUUAAUUAACUUUGUCGCGUUCCGAUACUUUUGCAUUGAUUAAGAUUAACGAGGAAUUUGGGGGAGACAAUAGUUAUUGGAGACAAUAUAAUUUUGGAGACAAUAGUUAUUGCAAUCACAAGACUUGCAAUCACUGUACACAUUUUCGAUUUCUGGGUUACUUAAAGAUGUUGUUAAUUUUUGUCGUCAUUAAGAAAUUUUUAGUGAUAGUUCGCUUCAAUUAUAAACAAAAUUGAGGUUCUAAAUAUCACUGAAAGGUCAACCGAGCAGUUGUUCUACAUAUAGAAUGCUGUGAUCGGAGAUAAUUUCAAGUAUCAUCAUGUAAAAAUAAACUUCACAGUGGCGUACUACUUUUCUAGGUACAUUUGGUUGCUAACAAUGUUUACACCCUUGCUUCUCUGUCAUAUGAAAGCACUUAAGAGAAUUCCAAUUAUCUAAACUUUGCUAAAUAUUUAUAAAUAUGGCAUUGACGAAGAACUGAAUAAGGAUGAGACUUUAAAUUUCUCAAAAAGAAUCACUUCUCUGUGCAAUCGAGAUCCGUUCAAUAGCACCCAGUGUUACAUAAUCAUUCGUCACCCUAUCAACACAAAAACAACAGAACAUAGAAUCAAAAUCUAUCAUUUUGCUAUUUCCUCUGCAAGCAGAAUUAAAUGUUAUCAGAGAACAAAGUUCAAAUAAAUGUAUUACGAAAUCAUUUUUUAACAAUUUCAUUUGCUACAUCCUGACACCAUUGCAAACAAUCCUGUCACACUAUCCAAAAGCUGAGAAACUUUACCUCAUCCCAUAAGAACAAUUUAACCAGAAAGACUAAACCAGCUAUCUUCUAACACAUUGUAAAAUAAAAACAGCAAUAUACACUUGACACUAAAUGGUAUAUUCACUAAUCAUUUAAUCCUCGACAUCCUGUGGGGAUGCAACCCCCAGGCAUUGUGCUCGACAGAGAAGGAUUGUCGAAGCUCCAGCGUUGGAUCUACUACCAGGGAGCAUGGAUUCUAUCUGUUUGGUGCGGCGGUCGGUACGCAACUUACGUUCACUGGCGAGCAAACUGGAUGGACGUGAAAGGGAGAGGCUCACAGGGUGCGCUAAGCCGAAGAGGAACACGAGGACGCGUGUGCGAGAUGCACACACACGGACAGAGAACCAGUCGACAUGGGCUCGCUUGCACACGUGAGACUGAAACUGCGUAAACCGCGCUCGAGACUGUCUGCAAUGGUAGGGAGGGUGCGCAAGGGUUGGUUCGAGGUAUGCGGGGGCAGCCACCCCGGCUGCGAUCCAUAAGCCUCUACGAACCGGCGACAUCUCAUGGCAUCCGUGCGAAAAACGCUACCUCUGAACUCUGACCUCUGCGCUGCUGAUCAGAACUAACCAAAAGUUACCCUCUGCGUUUCCUUAAAGAUCUAACCCUAACGCAAUAAUCUAGUUCAAGAUUUUGGAACUUAUAAUUUCUGUAUUUUCUUGAAGAAUAGAGGUCUUCAAAUUGUG